GAUGAAGAACGUAGCGAAAUGCGAUAAGUAAUGCGAAUUGCAGAAUUCAGUGAGUCAUCGAAUCUUUGAACGCACAUUGCGCCCUGUGGUAUUCCGCAGGGCAUGCCUGUUCGAGCGUCAUUUCAGCCCUCAAGCUCUGCUUGGUGUUGGGCCCUGCCCGCUGCGGCCGGCCCUAAAGACAGUGGCGGUGCCGCCUGGCCCUGAGCGUAGUACAUCUCUCGCUCCAGUGCCCGGUGGUAGCCUGCCAGAACCCCAACUCUCGUGGUUGACCUCGGAUCAGGUAGGGAUACCCGCUGAACUUAAGCAUAUCAAUAAGCGGAGGA
rnacentral:misc_RNA from 1 species